rnacentral:lncRNA from 1 species
UCUAGUCUUUGCCAUGAUCGCUCGUAUUGUGCCCCCUAUCUAGCGUGUCAAUCUGUUGUGGCCAAUCCCCUAUUACGCUUGUUACUGAUGAAGAGCCCCUAUAAAAUGAAGUCCACACUGACUAGAAUUAUAUCCGACAGAGAUCCUUCGAUGUUUAAGUCAGUAAGGAGAGAUGAAUGUCAGAUAAGUAUUUAGAGAAAUAGAGUUUCAGCUCUCAAAAAAUUUUACCAAAUGCUGUUCAUUUACCUCCUUUUAUAGACGAAUAGUUGGUAACCAUCUAUAAUGGUUAGACAUGUGGUCCCGCUUGUUCUGGUAUUAUGUGAUUGUGGGAUUGAUGGUUAUACCCACCAC